UACGGGGGGGGCAAGCGUUGUUCGGAAUUACUGGGCGUAAAGGGCUCGUAGGUGGCCAACUAAGUCGGACGUGAAAUCCCUCAGCUUAACUGGGGAACUGCGUCCGAUACUGGAUGGCUUGAGUUUGGGAGAGGGAUGCGGAAUUCCAGGUGUAGCGGUGAAAUGCGUAGAUAUCGGGAAGAACACCCGUGGCGAAGGCGGUUCUCUGGGACGGUACUGACGCUGAGACGCGAAAGCGUGGGGAGCGAACAGG
rnacentral:rRNA from 1 species